UAACCAACAUAUACCUGAGGAUAACAGAAGCAUUUAAGACAGACUGUGAAGAAUUUGUGAAAGAGCACAACAGCUUAAGACUGGAGCAUGAAAUAAUUAAAAAUGAAAAGGAAGAAC